UCAGAUGUGGUGUAUGGUGCACAUCAGCUCCUUGUGUUGGGCAGGUAUCGGUUAGCUGAAGGUCAGGGUUCGACUCCCUGUGUCCGAA